GGCUUCCUCCCACGCAGAUCCAGCUGUAAGGCUGACCUGGUCUUGAUCUGCACGGUUUUCCCACCUGCUUGUUGUGAGCCUGGACCAGAACUGGAUCUGAUAUGACGCAGCAUCCCGUUAUUCUCAAGUCAACUCUCUACACUGACUCCUGAGAUCACUUACCAGGAGAGUUUCAGUGUAUCCUCCAGUGAGAAGAAAAUGAAGGAUGUAAUAUGAUGAAUACCUACAUAUAAGGAAGGCAAUCACAGAAUAAUGCUACUUCAUGGACUCACAUUAGGCUUAUAUUUGUAAAAAUAAAUAAAUAAAUUCCAAUCUGACGUCGGCAUAGUCAAGUAACUUUUGUUUUAUACUAGUGUUAAGUAACUGUAAUUCAGAUACAAUAAGGUGCAAUGUCUUCUAACAGUUAAAACAGGCAGGACGCCUGUUGUGUCCUGCUCAUUCACUUGCCCAACAUGGGUGUGGCUACAUCAUCUCCAUGUUUCUGGGCAAUCUCAUUUGCCUCAGAAAGUUGACCAGAUUAUUACAUUCUAACUUGAAUGUAAUAAUCCAUGUGUUCUCUGAGGUAGCCCAUGACUAAUGAAAGAAUUUUUAGAAAGAACACAAACGUCUAACACAGUACUGUACUCAGUAUAUGAAGAAAAGACAGAAUAGAGAAAUCUAAGGAAUGCUUUUCCAAAUUCUAUUUUUGAUCAGAUCUUCACUAUAUUUAGGGAGAAAUUUCUGUUUGCAUAUCUUGAAUUUUUCCUCACAAUUAAAAAGUAUGUGAAAUGCAAUAAUGAAAUGGAGCUUUAAGGUAUGACUGCAGCAGCUACAAAACUUGUGACCUACAAUCUGACCUGCCCACAAGAUGGCAUGGCAGUGGUGGAACAGAAAUUAUGGAAGUAGCCAAGCAAUAUUUGAUUUUGAGUUAAGGUUCACUCCAAAAGGUGAAAGUCAUACCCAACCUGCCUGCAUAACCAAGGACCGGAGCCUAGACAGCCCAGAAACCUAGGAUAAAACAAACACUAGUCAUGUAAAAUGAGAAAUAGAAGUAUGGACAAAAAGACUACUAAUUCUGUUGUGCUGUACUAAUAGGUCAGUGCUUUAUUCAGUCAUCAUGUGAGAAGAUUUCUACAACUGCAGAUGGGAACAGAUGCAGAAGCUCAAAGUCAGACAUCAGGAGAAGAGAGAGUCUACAUGGAGGUCUCCAUCAAAUGCUUCCCCUCAGAGCUCAGGGAACCGUGCAGAGGAUGAGGCAGAAAGAGUGUAUCAGCCAGGAGAGAUAGAGGACACCAGGACAACAAGACCCUCUGAAUAAGCAAGUGCAAGUGAACUCACAGGGACUGAAGUAGCAGGCACAGGGCCUACACAGGUCUGCACAUAUAUACUAUAGCUUUACGCUUAGCAUUAUUAUAUGACUGCUGAGUGUGAGGACAAUGAGGAAGAAGAGAUGGUUGGGAACUCAGAAGAGAAAGACAUGUCAUUCUCCAUACCAUACAACUAUUAUAAUCAGUAACCAACAGCAAAUGUAGUUACCUGUACUGGCCUCACAGAACACAACAGUCUAGGAAAGGGAAAGGGCUCACUUUAUUUCUCAGACGUUGGCUAUGGAUAUAUUGUAGGAGAAGAACAUUGCCUUUAGUUGUUAUCCUGUGCUGAGCACAUCAGGCUCCAGCACACAUCAGACUCCAAACCCACAGUCUCACAAAUGGCUCUGGUUCAUCUCAGUGGAUCACAAGCAAUAUGAAUAGAGAUGAACUCAGUAGAGUGACUGUUGGAAUUGUGGACCAGGAUAGUAGAGAGGUAGGAGGUAGAUAGGCAGUAUUUGAAGUAUACCUGCCCAUGUGCACACAGACACACACACACAUACACACAUACACACACUCACACACAUACACUGUGUUAUACAUUUAUAUGCCGGUGUGAAAUAGGCAAUAAUAGACAAUCGGUGGGAGAUAUUUACUCGUUCAUUCAUUCAUUGUAGACAGGGUUUUUCUGUAUAAACCUGGGUUUAAAGGUACCCAUGACCAACUCAAUUUUCUUUUAAAUUACCACAUCAGUCUGUAAUUUGUUUUUAGUUGUACAAGUAUCUAGUGGUAUUUAUUUAUUUGUUUAUUUUUGUUUUUGAGAAAUCACUAAGAUCAGCCUACCUCUGCCUCUGGAAUGCUAGGACUAAUGGGAUGUUCCACCACGCCCAGCUCAGUAUCUGCUUUAGCACCAAAUAAUAAUUAGAGUCAGGAACUGUCUCAUUUUAUGUUAAGAAGUAAGUCAAUGAUAAGUCAUAUUGCUGUUAGUUCUAUGUAGUUCUGAUAGAAUUCUGUGAACCAGGGAUUAUUUUAAGGAUGGCAUUUUAUACUCCUCAGUCACAUUGUUACUUGUAGUCUUGUUCAUAUUAUUUAUUUCAUAUUGUGUGCUAUAUACAUCUGAAACCUCAUCUAUUUCCAUUAGAGUUUCCAGUUUAGUGCAAUAGAAGUCUUUAAUGUCAGUAGACACAAGCUCUAAUUGUUAACUCAUUUCUAGCAAGUAGGUUGUACCUUUACCUUGGGUAAACUGUUAGGUCAUUACAAGCUGGGCAGUGGUGGUGCACUCCUUAAAUCAAAGCACUCAGGAGGCAAAGGCAUGUAGAUCUCUGCGAGUUCAAUGCAAUCCUGGCCUACAGAGUGAGUUUCAGGUCAGCCAAUGUUACACAGUGACAAAUAAAUAAACACAUCGG
rnacentral:lncRNA from 1 species